rnacentral:rRNA from 1 species
GAGGAAAAGAAAUCAACCGAGAUUCCCCCAGUAGCGGCGAGCGAACGGGGAGCAGCCCAGAGCCUGAAUCAGUGUGUGUGUUAGUGGAAGCGUCUGGAAAGGCGCGCGAUACAGGGUGACAGCCCCGUACACAAAAAUGCACAUGCUGUGAGCUCGAUGAGUAGGGCGGGACACGUGGUAUCCUGUCUGAAUAUGGGGGGACCAUCCUCCAAGGCUAAAUACUCCUGACUGACCGAUAGUGAACCAGUACCGUGAGGGAAAGGCGAAAAGAACCCCGGCGAGGGGAGUGAAAAAGAACCUGAAACCGUGUACGUACAAGCAGUGGGAGCACGCUUAGGCGUGUGACUGCGUACCUUUUGUAUAAUGGGUCAGCGACUUAUAUUCUGUAGCAAGGUUAACCGAAUAGGGGAGCCGAAGGGAAACCGAGUCUUAACUGGGCGUUAAGUUGCAGGGUAUAGACCCGAAACCCGGUGAUCUAGCCAUGGGCAGGUUGAAGGUUGGGUAACACUAACUGGAGGACCGAACCGACUAAUGUUGAAAAAUUAGCGGAUGACUUGUGGCUGGGGGUGAAAGGCCAAUCAAACCGGGAGAUAGCUGGUUCUCCCCGAAAGCUAUUUAGGUAGCGCCUCGUGAAUUCAUCUCCGGGGGUAGAGCACUGUUUCGGCAAGGGGGUCAUCCCGACUUACCAACCCGAUGCAAACUGCGAAUACCGGAGAAUGUUAUCACGGGAGACACACGGCGGGUGCUAACGUCCGUCGUGAAGAGGGAAACAACCCAGACCGCCAGCUAAGGUCCCAAAGUCAUGGUUAAGUGGGAAACGAUGUGGGAAGGCCCAGACAGCCAGGAUGUUGGCUUAGAAGCAGCCAUCAUUUAAAGAAAGCGUAAUAGCUCACUGGUCGAGUCGGCCUGCGCGGAAGAUGUAACGGGGCUAAACCAUGCACCGAAGCUGCGGCAGCGACGCUUAUGCGUUGUUGGGUAGGGGAGCGUUCUGUAAGCCUGUGAAGGUGUACUGUGAGGUAUGCUGGAGGUAUCAGAAGUGCGAAUGCUGACAUAAGUAACGAUAAAGCGGGUGAAAAGCCCGCUCGCCGGAAGACCAAGGGUUCCUGUCCAACGUUAAUCGGGGCAGGGUGAGUCGACCCCUAAGGCGAGGCCGAAAGGCGUAGUCGAUGGGAAACAGGUUAAUAUUCCUGUACUUGGUGUUACUGCGAAGGGGGGACGGAGAAGGCUAUGUUGGCCGGGCGACGGUUGUCCCGGUUUAAGCGUGUAGGCUGGUUUUCCAGGCAAAUCCGGAAAAUCAAGGCUGAGGCGUGAUGACGAGGCACUACGGUGCUGAAGCAACAAAUGCCCUGCUUCCAGGAAAAGCCUCUAAGCAUCAGGUAACAUCAAAUCGUACCCCAAACCGACACAGGUGGUCAGGUAGAGAAUACCAAGGCGCUUGAGAGAACUCGGGUGAAGGAACUAGGCAAAAUGGUGCCGUAACUUCGGGAGAAGGCACGCUGAUAUGUAGGUGAAGUCCCUCGCGGAUGGAGCUGAAAUCAGUCGAAGAUACCAGCUGGCUGCAACUGUUUAUUAAAAACACAGCACUGUGCAAACACGAAAGUGGACGUAUACGGUGUGACGCCUGCCCGGUGC